UUACAAUUCAUUUACACAUCCCAAGUAAUGUAAGAGUAUUGCACUGUCCUUAUUAAAAAACCCUGUAAAUCAAGAAAAUACUUAUUUUUUAAGCAUUUACUUGACAGCAAUCCAUAACAAAUAUUAUGCAUGUUAGAGAAAUCCUACCUCUCCCAUGAGUGUAAUUAUCAAGCACUGGUCAAGACUCAAGAAAAAUUUUGAUAACAGAAAAUUGAAUGUCAAAUUAAAGAGAAAUUAAUGAGUUUUGAGUGUGAGGAGUUCGCAGAUAGCUAGAGCAUAGUGUUAUCUAUAUCCCUUGAGUAUUGGGCAAAUGGGUGAGCCUGUUGGAUUAAAAAUAGUUCUUGUUGGCCAUCACAGUUGGCUAGCCUAAGUUUUAAAAUAAAUUUGAUGAAAAGUCAUUAAAACUAAUUUGAUAUUGCAUUGUAGACUAAUCUUAUAUUAUAUAAAAUUGUUUAUUUAUAAAAACUAAUUUUAUGGGAUGGGGUGGAAUAAGCAUGUCCAUAUGAAUUUUAUAUUAAAACCUGUCAGACAUUAAAUCUCAACCAAAAAAAAAAA